rnacentral:lncRNA from 1 species
AGCCUCAUUCAGCCCUAGUGCAGCACUGGAGUGCUGGGCUGGGCCUGGGGCACCAUGCUUCUGAGCACAGUAGUCUCCACACAGUGCAUCCCAGCAGCUUUGCCUAGCUGGGGAAUCAGAACACCAACUAAGCAGUUCAACAGGUCACCUCACUUCUCCCAGCACAGGCUUCUCCAGUAUAAAAGGCAGGGUAGCCGUAACACAGUAGUCACACAACUUCAUUUUUCCAUCAGCCUCUGAUUUGUGUGUGUACUUUUCAGGAAAAAGGCAUGUAAAUACUUUGAACAAGGCAAGGGGACCUGUCCCUUUGGAAGCAAGUGCCUUUACCGCCAUGCUUACCCUGAUGGGCGGCUGGCAGAGCCAGAGAAACCUCGGAAGCAGCUAAGUUCUGAAGGCACUGUGAGGUUCUUUAACUCAGUGCGGCUUUGGGAUUUUAUCGAGAACCGAGAAACCCGGCAAGUCCCCAGCACUGAUGAUGUGGAUGUGACGGAGCUAGGAGACCUCUUCAUGCACCUUUCUGGAGUAGAGUCAUCAGAACCCUAGUCAGUGCCUUCAUUUGGGCUCUGCAGUCAACUUUCCAAGGCGUGGUGUGGACGCAUCUGUCACUGACCCGAGGUGAUGUGGUACCGGGGUGUGAGUGCAGUAGUGAGUCCCCUUGGUCUCUUCAUGAUGAAAUUUCCCUGCCCUGGUGAAGGGAAGGGAGAUCACCAAGUCCAUGGAAUCACUACAUUUAGAUUUGAGAGCUCUGAGUUGUACCUCCAGCCCCUUUAUCAGGGACCAGCUAUGUGGUCCAGCUGUUUUAAUUGAUUGCUUCUAAAUGAAACCCGACUACCAUCUU